rnacentral:lncRNA from 1 species
CACUCGCCGGGCUGCCAGAAUUAAGCAACGCCAAAUUAAGGAGCUAAGAUAACCGUGUUGGGCUUAGAACUGUGCCUUUGGAUUAAUAUCAGGUCCUGCUGGGAACGGCGGGUCCGCCCGGGAGGCGUGAUGUGCGCGCAAAGGCGCGGAGUCCAGGGCGGGAGCCCGCGCUCGCCGAGGGGCCGCAGUCCGCGCCCGAAGGACGCUCUCUCUGGGAACCACCUUUGGCAGGCUCUUCUGUGUUUUGACAAACCAUCCAUCCAUGUCAGGUAUGGUCUCUUGCAGCAGGAUCCUGAUCCCUUUUGGAUUACAGCCCUCUGCCCUUUUACGGCUUUAAAAAACUUGGAAUUUGUCCCUUCCUUGGUUCCUGCCAGAAAUGCUGCAUGCUAGGGACUCUUGUCUGGACCCUCUAUGGGUCUCUUACUUUACGACUCAGUCUUUUGUCCCACGUGGCAUAUUGUUGGUCCCUCCAGAAAUAUGGAGGUGCUUGCACUGUAAUCUGCAGAAAUUCCUUAAAAUUGUUGACAGUGAUUGGCACCAUUCCCCAGUGUCCAGUGAGAAAGUGGAUUUUCCUUAUAACAGUUGAUUUUCUUUGAUAAUUUUAGUAGAAAUUUUGUUGCAAGAGGGGAAGUUAAACAGAAGGCUUUAAUAUCCCCUUCUUUGUUUUUGUUUUUGUUUUUUGUUUUGUUUUUUAAAGAUUUUAUUUAUUUAUUUGACAGAGAGAGAGAGUCAGCGAGAGAGGGAACACAAGCAGGGGGAGUGGGAGAGGAAGAAGCAGGCUCCCAGCAGAGGAGCCUGAUGCGGGGCUCGAUCCCAGAACACUGGGAUCACGCCCUGAGCCAAAGGCAGAUGCUUAAUGACUGAGCCACCCAGGCGCCCCUAAUAUCCCCUUUUUUGAUCAGAAUCCAUUCAUUAUCCUUCUUAAGGUGUCAUAGAUGGUAACUUGGCAUAUCCCUCUACAACUAGACUGCAUCCAAAGUUGAGAUAUUAAUAUGCAUAAGACUUUUAAAAGAAUGGGAGUCACUUUUUCCAGGAACCUCCAGAAGAAACAUACUGUGCUUAGAGAAGUGGGCGUGUAGGAUCAUAAACCCACUUGACUAACCUUAAGGGAAGGGGAUGUACAUAAACUGAAACUAGAACUGGAAAACUACUUGUACCACAGGUAUUUGCUCUCUCAGUCUCUCUCAUGGGCCACAUGGUUUCUCAUAAUGAUGUUGCUGCUCCUGUUUGUGUCUGAGCCAGUCACCUGGCUGUCUGUCAGCUGGCCUCCCCUAAUUUCAGUGUAUCCAUAGUCCCAAGGGGACAUCCUGGCCCCAGGUCUGCCUUGAGAUUUCUCUGCUCAUCUCUAGCAACUAGUAUCUUGUUCUUUUCAAAUUCCCCAAAAAACAAUCUGGUUAGCUCAGCUCAGUUUUGCUAGCAGGCUUUUUAAGCGUAAGUCACAGGUCACGGACAGGCUGCCCUCAAGCCCAAGUCCACCUCAGUUCAUGUCAUCUGAGGUGUAGAGCGGUGUGAGAAGCACGUGGGAGAGAAUAGGCCUGUUUAGAGCAGAGGGGCUGUAGCUCUUGCUGGGCUUGUCUGCCGUUGGCUCUAACCCGGGUUGUGUCUCAGACUAUUCCACGUUCACUGACUCCCUUAGCCAACAACAACAAAUGACAAUCUCCUUAGCCAAGCACUCAAGGUUUCACACUCUUAACUGUGUCCACCUGGCCAGCCAUGCCUCCCACUCUCACUCUCUUUGCUGACCUGACUGACAUAUUUACUUGGUCCCAAAUCCCACCAUACAAAUUCCUGCCUCUGGGCCUCUGCUCAUGCUGUGCUUACCUUGCCUCCCCUGCACUCCUACCAUCCUCCAAAGAGCAGCUGAAGCGACUCUUUCUUUAUACCAAUGACAGCUAAUACUUAUUUGGCAUCAGCCAUGAACUAGGUAUUCUCCUAGAUACUUUACGUAUAUAAUCUCAUUUAAUUCUUUCUCCAUAUCUUCCAGAGCAGGUAUUAUUACUGUCAUUCUACAGGCAGGCAAGAGGAGGCUUGGAGAAGUUAACCGACCCAGUUCACCCAGGGAGUAAAUGUCAAAGUUGGGAUUCUGAACCCAGGGCUGUCUGAUUUCAAAGUCUAUACUUCUUCUGAAACCAUGCUUGGUUGUAAAGAAUUUCCUGAUGACUUGAACCCAUGGUUUUCUCGCCCUCCUUUGCAUAUUACCUGAUGUCUAUUCUGAAUUAGUGAUUUGACACUUAACAGAUGAUUACUUAUUCUACUGAUUGCCUUUUGGGGUGUGAACUUCCCCCCUCGACUGAACUCUAAGCUAGUGGUUUUCAAUGGGUGCAGCUCUGUCCCUGGGAGGCAUUUGGGAAAUGUAUGCACGUGGGGACUGAAUAUCGCAUUGAUUGAAGGGGAUCACUGUGAUUCACUGUGCAGAGGCAGUGCAUAGGACAGUCCCGGGCAACGAACAAUGAUCCCAUAACCCACAAGACUCUUCUAUGUGCCGUUAGACACCCAAAGUUAAAAACUUGUUCAUAAUUAUCCAUAAGGUUCAAGCCUAACUCUGCUUUAAAUAGAGACAUCAAGUAACCUCUGCACAGUUUUAACAUGUGGAAAAUUUUCCAGGAGUGCAAUGACCAUUGUUUAAGAGGGGAAAAAAAAGGAAUGAUUAUACUUUGUUUAGCUUGGUCUUUGGCCAAGAAUUUUUCUCCAUUUCAGAAAAUUACAUCUACUGAUAACAACACUGCUGAUGGUAUUUGAGUCUCCAACGAAAUACAGACAUUACGUGACAGCCAGCUUUUAUACCAAUUACAUUUACGAUGGUUCUAUAUGUAGAUGAAAACUUCUGACCUCUCUUAAGCCAGUAGCGUAACCUAACUCUAGUAUUCAUGUGUUAAAAUACAUGUUGUUUUAUUACAAAUUAUUUUCUUUUUAUUUCUUCUUU